GGUCUGGUAGUUCAGUUGGUUAGAACGCUGCCCUGUCACGGCAGAGGUCGUGGGUUCGAAUCCCAUCCAGAUCGCCA
rnacentral:tRNA from 5 species